UACGUAGGGUGCGAGCGUUGUCCGGAUUUAUUGGGCGUAAAGGGCUCGUAGGCGGCGUGUCGCGUCGGGAGUGAAAGACCGGGGCUUAACCCCGGUUCUGCUUCCGGUACGGGCAUGCUGGAGUGUGGCAGGGGAGACUGGAAUUCCUGGUGGUAGCGGUGGAAUGCGCAGAGUAUCAGGAGGAACACCGGUGGCGAAGGCGGGUCUCUGGGCCAUUACUGACGCUGAGGAGCGAAAGCGUGGGGAGCGAACAGG
rnacentral:rRNA from 1 species